UACUGCAUCAGAAGAGACGGCUCAUCACCUACAGUGCCAAAGACCCUCACCGGGACACUGGGAUGGCCCGUCACCUACAGUGCCAAAGACCCUCACUGGGACACUGGGAUGGCCAUCACCUACAGUGCCAAAGACCCUCACUGGGACACUGGGAUGGCCGGUCACCUACAGUGCCAAAGACCCUCACUGGGACACUGGGACGAAGCAGGAGAUGUCAAUCUUGACUCCAAUCUCAACAGGCCUAGGUAGAAGAAUAUUCUUCACCUCUGGAAAGAGUGGCUGAUAGACAACGGAGCUUCCUGCCCACCUAUGGAAAGACACUUUUAACCUGUUCUAGACACCGAAAUACCUCAAACUACCCAACUCCUACACAAAACACUUCCUAAGGAGCUCCUUCUAUUGCUUUGGUGUCAUGCCCAGAUGCAAAGUUAAAUUUUACACUCAGCAUCUGCGUAUCAGUCACGAAUGCCGCAGCAUCUUGGAUGAAGGGGCAGGGCUUUGCCCUCGGCAGUGCCUGAGAUCAGCUUCUCCUUCAAGAAAACUCGGCGCUUCAGACGUGGCCACAAUCCUGCCCUGCAUCCCGCCAUCCUCGCCAACGGACUGAUCGUCAGGCUUCAGCUUGAUUCCCGGGUCGCCGCAGAGGGGCGCCAUGCCCGCUACCGCGGAGUCUCUCCGCGCCUCCCAGUAGCGUCCUCGCCCACCCUCCCUUCGCUCCCAACC
rnacentral:lncRNA from 1 species